rnacentral:tRNA from 1 species
GCCCUCGUAGCUCAAUGGUAGAGCGCGUCACUAGUAAUUGCGAGUUAUAGUUCGAUUCCGUCCGAGGGCA